rnacentral:rRNA from 1 species
GAUGAACGCUAGCUACAGGCUUAACACAUGCAAGUCGAGGGGAAACGGCAUUGAGUGCUUGCACUCUUUGGACGUCGACCGGCGCACGGGUGAGUAACGUGUAUCCAACCUUCCCAUUACUGUGGGAUAACCUGCCGAAAGGCAGACUAAUACCGCAUAGUCUUCGAUGACGGCAUCAGAUUUGAAGUAAAGAUUUAUCGGUAAUGGAUGGGGAUGCGUCUGAUUAGCUUGUUGGCGGGGUAACGGCCCACCAAGGCUACGAUCAGUAGGGGUUCUGAGAGGAAGGUCCCCCACAUUGGAACUGAGACACGGUCCAAACUCCUACGGGAGGCAGCAGUGAGGAAUAUUGGGCAAUGGACGGAAGUCUGAACCAGCCAAGUAGCGUGCAGGAUGACGGCCCUAUGGGUUGUAAACUGCUUUUGUAUGGGGAUAAAGUUAGGGACGGGUCCCUAUUUGCAGGUACCAUACGAAUAAGGACCGGCUAAUUCCGUG